rnacentral:rRNA from 1 species
GACGAACGCUGGCGGCAUGCUUUACACAUGCAAGUCGAACGGUAACAGGCCGCAAGGUGCUGACGAGUGGCGAACGGGUGAGUAAUGCAUCGGAACGUGCCCAGUCGUGGGGGAUAACGCAGCGAAAGCUGCGCUAAUACCGCAUACGAUCUAUGGAUGAAAGCGGGGGACCGUAAGGCCUCGCGCGAUUGGAGCGGCCGAUGUCAGAUUAGGUAGUUGGUGGGGUAAAGGCCUACCAAGCCAACGAUCUGUAGCUGGUCUGAGAGGACGACCAGCCACACUGGGACUGAGACACGGCCCAGACUCCUACGGGAGGCAGCAGUGGGGAAUUUUGGACAAUGGGCGCAAGCCUGAUCCAGCAAUGCCGCGUGCAGGAAGAAGGCCUUCGGGUUGUAAACUGCUUUUGUACGGAACGAAAAGGCUCUGGUUAAUACCUGGGGCUCAUGACGGUACCGUAAGAAUAAGCACCGGCUAACUACGUGCCAGCCGCCGCGGUAACAC